GGAAGUGCUCUCCGUGGAAAUUUUCAUCCAGUUCUACUCAAAGUCCAUAAAAUCCAUAGGGAAUCAGAAUUUUGAAACCAAAUAUUUCUGAAGCACAGACUUCUGGUUUGGAUCCAUACUCAGCCUAGAAACUUGCUCGAAGUGGAUUGACUGAUUUGACAUUAAGAUGUUACAGACUCUCUGAAUAAGUCCAUGUCCCAGGUGUCUGCUCAUGCACAUUCCUAAAGUGAACAGACCCCUGGAAUUCUCUGUUGGAGGGCUGAAGGGUGACCCACGGGAUGUGGGCUGGCUGCCUCACCUCCUGUCAGCCCUGGAGAUGUCACCUGUGUGCUCAGAAGCUCCUGACCCCACAGAACCAGGAACUCAAUUCCCUCUGCACAGCCAAGGCAGCAGAAAUGAGGAGGGGGCAAUAACAGCACUCUGCUAUUGCUGCCACUGAAGUAAAGGUAAGUAGUUAACAAAAGUGUUGUUCUUCUUUAUUUUUCAAUGUGUGUAUUUAAAAACAAAAAUUGUUUGUAUUUCAAUAAAAUUACCCAUGUUUUGUACUGCAUGCUCAUGAUGCUCACCUUGCAUUUUCCCCAUGAAAACCUGUAUGGUUUAUCCUGACAAACCAAUAGCCCCAGUAAGAGCAGACCCAAAUCUUUGGCAGGAAAUUAUGCUAUGUAUUUUAAAGCUAUUUUAUACUAAGUGUGUAUAUUUUCAGUCUAAUGCAAGGUAGAAGAAAAACCCCCACUGUUUUUCCUAAAUGGAUAGGAUCUUGCUAACUUAAGAAAACAAAAAUAAAAUUUCAGAACAUCUGAUAUGAAAAUUAAAAUUCAAAUAAAGGUAAAAACCCACACUUUUUAAACAUUCUGGAAAGAAAUUGCUGUAUUUUGCUGUUGAGGAAUUUCACCAGGACUCACUGAGCUCUUUUCAAUUCUCAUUUUUUCUAUUUCCAGCUCUUUGUCCUCUAGCUUGCA